CUCUGUGAACUGAAACCCUACUAAUUUCAAAGGGCUCUUUGGCCUGGGAGAAGGGAGUUGAACAUUGGAAAAAACAAGACCCUAACUGAAAUGUUAAAGGAGAAAGUUCUAAGGCUCAGUUGUAGAAUUAGAAUUUCAUGCUGACAUUAGAAUAGUCAUUCUCGUGUUAUUUGUCUUCUUAAAUCAUCCCCACGUAGCUGGACAAGAACACGGUGUGCACACGCUCUGUGAUAAAUACCAGGGCAUCGGACAGUGGAAACAUGAAGGUGCGUGCCCAGAUAGAAGCCAUUUCCCCAUUCCAUCCCAGCACGAGACUGCUGCCCACAGCCCGUC
rnacentral:lncRNA from 1 species